rnacentral:rRNA from 1 species
ACUGUUUAAUUAAAACAAAGCAUUGCGAUGGUCCUUGCGGAUGCUCAUGUAAUUUGAUAUCUGUCCAAUGCUCUGAAUGUCAAAGUGAAGAAAUUCAACUAAGCGCGGGUAAACGGUUGGAGUAACUAUAACUCUCUUAAGGUAGCCAAAUGCCUCGUCAUCUAAUUAGUGAUGUGCAUGAAUGGAUUAA